rnacentral:rRNA from 1 species
GAUGAACGCUGGCGGCGUGCCUAAUACAUGCAAGUCGAGCGGUAAGGCCACUUCGGUGGUACACGAGCGGCGGACGGCUGAGUAACACGUAGGAACGUACCCCAAACUGAGGGAUAAGCACCAGAAAUGGUGUCUAAUACCGCAUGUGCUCUUCGGAGUAAAGCUUCGGCGGUUUGGGAACGGCCUGCGCAUGAUUAGCUUGUUGGUAAGGUAAAAGCUUACCAAGGCGACGANCAUUAGCUGGUCUGAGAGGAUGAUCAGCCAGACUGGGACUGAGACACGGCCCAGACUCCUACGGGAGGCAGCAGUAGGGAAUUUUCCACAAUGGACGAAAGUCUGAUGGAGCAACGCCGCGUGCAGGAUGAAUGCCUUCGGGUUGU